CUCAUUUGAUCGACCGAUGAUGUAAAAAAUUAAUGUAACUUUAACGGACACAUAUAUAUGCAUAUAUACAACUACGGUACUUCAGUGUACUAUAAACCUAUCUUUAGGACAUAUGGUAAGAUGAUUAAAAAGUUCACAAUAGUUAUAAAAGAAAUAUGGCCAUCCAAUGGUGUCCAAAUUAUAGAAUAUGGUACUCUUAACAUGAUUAUAUGGGCGAACGGUAAAAAUAAAGAAUCUAGGCAGCCUAUGCUUUAUCCUGAGAAAACGUUUCUUAAUAUGUAUGUAUAUAUAUAUAUACAUUGAGUUCAAAUUCGUCAUGUGAAGACGGAAGCGAUUUAUUUAGCUAACCGUCAGGCUAACUUGGGUCUUGGAGUCAGUGGAUGGGGGUCUUCCAUUCCAAAAGAGAUUUGAAUUUCACUCUUUCUCCCACUUAUCAUCAGAGUCUUGAAUUACAUAAAUGAAAAAAAUUAAGCGGUGAGUCUAAAUUACAUGUUUUAUUCGAGAAAAAAAAGGUAGAAAGGUAGGUUCUGAUAUUUGGAAUUGGAAAAAUUGAGCUGUAAAAGCUAUCCAAAAUGCCUUAAAAAAAGGGAAGAUAAAAGGUAAAUUUUGGAAUAUCAAAAAUUAGAGCUAGGAAGAAAAAAGUAAAAGGAGAUAUUACAAGGAAAUAAAUCGUAACGUAUAAAUUAUAAGCUAAUGAAUUCAAUGAAAUAAAAUAACCAAAUAUUAACAAAACAAAGGCGAGACUGAAAUUAAAAUCUUUCUCCAUAAUUCCUGGGGAGCAUGCCAUAUAAUUUUGAGGAGAGCUGCUGCUUCUGCUUUUACACGAAUUGCAUCAUUGAUCAAGCUUUCUGGAAUUUAAUUUUGGGCUGUGAGGUACAAGAACUAAUUGAUAUACCUCUUUGUUAUAUGAUCAUGUUUAUUCUUAUUUAUUCAUGUUUCUUUGUAGGUUAAUAAUAACAUCCCUCCGAAUUUGUUAAUUAUUUGGGGUAGUUUUUGGAUUAGUUCUCUUAUGAAUUGACUAUCUUUAAAUUAGUGCUUCACUUUUAAAAAUCUCAAGGUACCCCAUUUUUGUUCAAUAGAUAAGAAAAAAAAUACAUGUGGAUUGAUGAAACUUUUUUUACUUUCUUAAUAAAAAUUGAGGGUAAAUUGAAACUUAUAAAAAUAAGGAGAUGAUUUGAUAGUAAUUAAUUCACGAUGGAGUAAUCCGAAAUUAAUCCUUAUUAUUAUAUAAUUCCCAUUAGCUCUAGGCUGUAAGUAAAGAUGACUAAUGGGUCGGGUGGCACGCGGCACGGCACAGGUAUGACAUUUGUUCGUAUAUCACGACACAGCACGAGCAUGUUUCCGCAGGGCUCGUGGCACGACAUGGCACACACAUGGGCGGGUUGGGCCUAGAAUUUUAGGCACGCAGGCUUUAAAAAUAGGGCCCGAUUAAAGAUGGACCAAAGUAUGACAUGCAAAAAGGCAUGUAAUAAACACACUUCAUUGGUAGGGUAGCACGGGGCCCAUGGCCCAUUAAUAGCACAUACGCCAAAGUAUAUCAAAAUAAAAUUUUUUAAUAAAAAGUAAAUAUAAAAUGUUAAGAUUUUACAAAUUAAUUUUUUUAAUG
rnacentral:lncRNA from 1 species